rnacentral:rRNA from 1 species
GACGAACGCUGGCGGCGUGCCUAAUACAUGCAAGUCGAGCGGACUUUCAAGAAGCUUGCUUUUUGAAAGUUAGCGGCGGACGGGUGAGUAACACGUGGGCAACCUGCCUGUAAGACGGGGAUAACUCCGGGAAACCGGGGCUAAUACCGGAUAAUAUCUUUCUUCGCAUGAAGGAAGGUUGAAAGGCGGCGCAAGCUGCCGCUUGCAGAUGGGCCCGCGGCGCAUUAGCUAGUUGGUGAGGUAACGGCUCACCAAGGCGACGAUGCGUAGCCGACCUGAGAGGGUGAUCGGCCACACUGGGACUGAGACACGGCCCAGACUCCUACGGGAGGCAGCAGUAGGGAAUCUUCCGCAAUGGACGAAAGUCUGACGGAGCAACGCCGCGUGAGCGAAGAAGGUCUUCGGAUCGUAAAGCUCUGUUGUCAGGGAAGAACAAGUACCGUUCGAAUAGGGCGGUACCUUGACGGUACCUGACCAGAAAGCCACGGCUAACUACGUGCCAGCAGCCGCCGCAG